rnacentral:lncRNA from 1 species
GCUUGAGCCACGUCCUGGCUGAGUCGGGAGGCACCAGGGUGUGUUGCUUGGAUGUAAGGAAGAGUCAUAGAGAAAGCCCAAAGCAGGCCCAGGAAGAAACAGACGGACAGCAAACCCGAAGAGCAAGCCGAGGAUGGAAGACCAGGAAGUCAACAUGCUCUCCUUUUCCAGCAACCCUGACUACUCUCUUCUCUACAUCUACAGUAAGAAGGGUAAGCUAUAGAGAUGAAACACUCUAUAGUAUCAACAAACUCCUACAACACAC